rnacentral:lncRNA from 1 species
ACAAGGUUUGCCAAUGUUACCUUUCAGUGGGAAGGUCCACCUUCCAGGUGGUAACCUUUGCCUAGAGCCACUAUCAGUAGGGAUCACCUGCACAAACUUUUAAGUCUUCUCCAGCUACGAGAGCAGUGAGGAACAGCAAUGAGCUUUGGGAGCUGUAACACUGAAAUCUUCUGAGACCUCCUCCCUCCCCCUCCUGACAUUCAAGACUGAACCAGGAUCCUGAUCACCUACCAGAUCUAGAUUUCACUUCAUCCUUUCCCACUCAGUGUAUGCGUCAAAGUCCGGACACGCCUAGGGAAGACAUGGACCUCGGAACUCGGCUCUGCUCCAGCCUUCCCUGCUUGAUGUACAGCAGCGCCUGGAGACUCCAAGGGAAGAAGUGAAAAGUGGAACCACACCAUAGUCCCCAGAAGCUGUUCAUGGGUAUUACAUACAGCUGAACAAAGAGGCCGGGUUAUUACAGACAGAUAAGCAAAGGGACAGGGUUAUUACAGACAGAUAAGCAAAGGGACAGGGUUAUUACAGACAGAUAAGCAAGGAGUCAGAAUUAUUAUUUACAAAUAACCAAAGAGGUGGGGUUAUUAUACUACACAGUUAAACAAGGAGAUAGGGUUAUUAUACUUUUUGGUUGUGAGCCUAGCUUUUAACUGCUGAGUCAUCUCUCCAGCCUUGGGGUUAUUAUAUACAGCUGGACAAGGAGGCAGGGUUAUUACACACAUAAACAAGGAGCAGAGUUAUUAUACCCAGCUGAACAUUGGGGCAGGUUUAGCUAAUCUCUGCAGGAGCUAACAAAGUAGGAGAGCAGUCUUCAGGCCUGGGGGAGAAAUCUUUGAUGAACGUUUUCUGCACACACUGUCAACAUUCACACUUGGAACAGGAGGGAAGGCUUUGCCAUUUCCUGUCUAAGGCACUGAAGUUCUUGACAUGGCUGUGGCCAGGCCAUCAGUACACACUCCCUACAAAGACCUUAUUUAAAAAAAAAGAGAGAGAGAGAGAGAGAAUAAAGAAAGUAAAAGAAACCAAAGGAAGGAAGGAAGAAAUAUAUAGGACACAGAAAGUACGGCCGAUCACACUUCUGAUCUCAUGUCUUCCCUGCCUGAUUGUAACACGAUUAUAUUUCCCAUCUUCUGGGUUUGAUAUUGACCUGCAUUAACUAAUUAGAAUUCCCAGCUGUGAAGAGACCUGGGCUCAAGACACAACUAAGUAGUUAAAGUUGUUCUGCUUCUUUUUUUUUUCCCUCCAUGAAAACAAUAUGCCCGAGCCACUUGCUGAUCCAGCAGCGAUGAGAGAUAGCACAGACCUGGACUAAACCUACAGUCUGCAGCCAAGAUCUAAGAGGCCAGCCUAGCUCCUUGGAGCCCAGUUGGCCAGACAGUUCAGCAUCAUAUGCUACAUACAUUUAGUCAUCGUCUUUCUUUAUUUUCCUUUCAUUUCAAACGUGGUCUGUAGCCUGCAAGAGUCUGGCUCUCUUCAACGUGUAAGGUCGGCAGGUCCACAGAAUGUCUUUCUGUUUGGCUCUCUGAUUAGAUUCUGGCUGUGCAUCAUUCAAAAGCAUCUCAGGAAAGCGGUGCUGUUUUUCACGGCAUCUGAUCAUUGGCGUGUGCUUCUAUUUGCCCCUUUGCGAUUGAGGUUCACUCUGAUCACCUGGUUAGUGUCAGGUCCCUCACAGUCCACUGUAAAGUUACUCAUUUACUCUUGACAUUUAUUGGGCAUAUGGGGAGAGGAACAGGAACUUGAAACCAUAUAAAUAUUUAUUUAUAUUAGCGCAGUUAUGAUUUUUUAUACAAAAUGUACUAUUAUACACAAACUGAUUAUAUGUGUAUGUGUGUACAUCUGAGAACACGUAUGUGCAAUCGCAUAUAUACAAUGAGAGUUCUGCAGAGGCCAAAGGGGCAUCAGAUCCCCUAAUUGCAGAUGGUUGUCUGCUGCCUAGUGUGGGUCCUGGGAAUUGAACCUCUAUUCAAGCAACAGGUUAUAGACCAUUAGGUUGAAGGCAUGGCUCUGUGGUAGAGAAUUUGCCUGCUUUGUGUGAAAUAAGCUGAGUUCGAUCCCCAGCUUUGCGAAGCCAAAGGAAGGUAUUAAUGGCAUUGCUUAUUUUGAUACUCAAAUUGUCACAGCUUUGGCCAGUGGACAGUCUUUUGGUGGCUUCAAUGUUGGCAUUAACCUGUUUCCUUUAUUUAUUUAUUUAUUUAUUUUUAUCACAUCCGUGUUCUCUGACACAAUACAAUUUCCCCUGGUCCUUUUGUACGUCAUAUGUCAUAUUACAGCAACUGGCCAUUUCUCCUGGGCAUUAUGGUUUCUGAGAUUGUAAAACAAGAAGCUAGGAUCUGGGAGGUAUGCCAAGUGCUAGUAGAAGUGUCUCUAUGUCCAGGCCAUCUGUGUAAAGAGCUAGCAAGCAUUUAUAGUUUGUCUAUGUGUCUCUCUGUUUUUCUGUACGUAUGUGGGGCUUAAAAGCCAGGAACUCUGGUAAAUAUUUUCCAUUCUAACCCCGUUGCUACCUCUCUCCACAACUGUAACUUCCUCCCCUGGUGAUGAAGUGUGGCUUUCAUUGGUUCCCACAUAGUCAUUUGUUUGAUCCCUUUCCCCAUCAUCAUCAGUGUGACCUCUCUCACUACCUCUGACUUCCCAUCCAAGCCCAUUCCCCUAUGUGCUCAGAUUCCGACUUGUCAAGGCAGGCUCUCCCCGUGUAGAUAUACCAUCCUUACUUUAGUCCCUGAAAGUCAAGCCGAGGUCUCUGAUUCCAAUGGACUCUUUCCUGCCCGUAUGACAGUGCUACCCCACAUCAAUGGAACAUUUCAUGUACCCUUUAAGGUUCUGCAUCCCUGCUCCUUGCAUGAUGUCUUGCCUUUGCAUUCUCUUCCUCACAACGAGCAUCUUUUCUGUGUUGACACUCUCCUAACUCCACCUAUCCAAUGCCUGCCUCUGGACUCUGGAAGUUCUCCUCAAGGACAGCAGGUACCCUACCUGUCUCUAUGCUUCUGAUUUGGGGACCCGAUUAGUUCAAAAAGGGAUGAGAAAUCAGUGGGGACAGGGCCACAACUAUGGUUGCAGAUGGAGACGAAGCUGCAGGGUGGCAUGGGUAGAAAAGAGACCAGCAGAGGGGGCUACUGAAACUGUUUAAUGAAGACUUGGUAGCAGUGGUUUAUGGAAGUGAAAAGGUGUUUCAUUCUAGAUGUGUCCUAAAAAUAGAGUUGAUGCCAUAUGCUCAUGAAAUACAUGGGAAUCCAAUACAAGGAUCAUUUAUUGUUCUUGCUUAGUUAGGGUCUGUGUUUGCAAGUAGAAACCCACCCAGAUGGACAGAAAUAAAAAAGAUGAACCAAUAAAGAUUCAAGUUCUCUCUCAGAAUCUGCAGGAAGACCUCAUGAAGGGCAGAAACCAGGAUCUGGGGCCUGGAUAGGCUGCCUCAUCCUCUUCCUUAUUCCUCCACCCCUACUGUACUAGGCCACUCAGACAAUCAUGAAUACUAUCUCCUGCACAUGCUCCAUGUUUUCUUUCAGAAGAUCUUCUGUGCCCCAAGUAGAAGAUGGC